ensembl:lncRNA
CAAAUAUCAACAUGAAUCAGCCAUAGGUUUAACCCAUGUCCCUUCCCACUUGAACAUCCCUCCUGCUUCCUUCCCCAUCUCACCCUCUAGGUUGUUACAGAGCCCUGAUUUAAGUUUUUUGAUAGUGUCUUUAAGACUUUCUAUGUAUAGUAUCAUGUCAUUUGCAAACAGUGACAGUUUUACUUCUUCUUUUCCAAAUUAGAUUCCUUUUAUUUCUUUUUCUUCUCUAUUUGCUGUGACUAAGGCUUCCAAAACUAUGUUGAAUAAAAGUGGUAAGAGUGGAAACUCUCUCUGUCUUGUUCCUGAUCUUAUGGGAGAUGCUUUCAGCUUUUCACUGUUGAGAAUUAUGUUACCUGAGUGUUUGUCAUAUGUGACCUUUAUUAUGUUGAGGUAUGUUUCCUCUAUGACCAUUUUCUGGAGAGCUUUUAUCAUAAAUUGGUGUUGUAUUUUGCCAAAUGCUUUUUAUGCAUCUAUUGAGAUGAUCAUAUAUUUUUUAUUCUUCAGUUUAUUAAUGUGGUGUAUCACACUUAUUGAUUUGUGGAUAUUAAAAGAUCUUUGCAUUCCUGGGAUAAACCCUAUUUGAUCUUGACAUAUGAUCCUUUUCAUAUAUUAUUCAGAAAAAACAUUGUUUCAGGUUAACUGAUUCAAAUGGAUGACUUGUAUGGUUAUGUGAAAUAUAAUACAUCCCAAUAAAGGCAUUUUAAAAACUAAGCAGAUAAAUUUUAUAUAUCAGAAAGAAGAAAAUAAUUCAAAGCUAGAAUCAUGAGCUACAGUUGACAUUAUAUAGUCCACCAGAGUAGCAGAAAAUGAUUAGACUACAGGAGUUGAGGCUUCAACAGGCAAAUAAAAAUAAGAAAGUGGCAUUAGCCUUGUGCAUUGUGAGGAGCAGUUUCUGAGAUCCCUGUCUAAGCUAAAAAUCCAAGUACUAUCCAUUCUAUGAGGUAUAGAAAGUCUCCUCUCACUGGAUUGAGGAUGAGGUACAGAAGGCCACAUUUAGAAAUAGGACCUCCAAUCUUAUGUAUCAUGAGGGUAGUAACAGGUGAAAAUUCAGCACUACUCAUGGAAAAGCAUUGUAAGUGGAGGAAUCAACAGGAAAACUCACCCAGAACCAAUACUCCCAGGAACCCUGUAGAGACAAUGCAGAAUCACU